rnacentral:lncRNA from 1 species
GAUUCUGGCAAGCAUUGGAAUUCUGGUUGUUGGCUAUCAAGAGGAAAGAGAAGAUAGUGAUGGUCAGGUUAUGAUUUGUUUGUGAGUUUCAAAUGGGGUGUGGAAGCUAUUAAAUAAAGGUAGAGGCUUAGAUUUUCUAGCCUCGAUUGCUCGAGAUUUUCAAUUUCAUGAAUUGAGAGUCAUCACAAGAAAGAAGGAGCAGACUCCCUUUGGAAGUUUGCUAUAGCAUCCUAAGCAUGUGCAAAGCUCGUAAUUUGUUGACAAUUGACAAAUUUAGACCAUACUAUGGCUUUUCUAUAGUAUUUCCUAAAUUUUUUGCCAAAAAAUUUCCUUACCAUUCAUCAUAAAAUAAGCAAUUUGGAUUUCUCUUCUAGCAAUUGAUUUUAGCCAAUGGAAAACCAUCGUAUGAGUCACAAGUACCAUAAUUUAGAUAACUUUUGAGUUCAUAAUAGAGCACAAGAUGGCAAGUGAUGUAAUUUUGAAACUUUCAAGGGUCAUAAUUGAACAUUAAAUAAUUUAAUUUUUCUAAACAAACUGGUCUCCAUUGCCACAUUCACCCUGCUCUCCUUGAAGCCUUGUCAUGGCCUCACCAUGUGCACCCUUGUCC